rnacentral:rRNA from 1 species
UACGAAGGGUGCAAGCGUUAAUCGGAAUUACUGGGCGUAAAGCGCGCGUAGGUGGUUCAGUAAGUUGGAAGUGAAAUCCCCGGGCUCAACCUGGGAACUGCUUUCAAAACUGCUGAGCUAGAGUACGGUAGAGGGUGGUGGAAUUUCCUGUGUAGCGGUGAAAUGCGUAGAUAUAAGAAGGAACACCAGUGGCGAAGGCGACCACCUGGACUGAUACUGACACUGAGGUGCGAAAGCGUGGGGAGCAAACAGG